AGUAAUAAACAUGAAAUAUCCGUAUGAGUGAAAAUUGAUUCAGUGUUCAUCGUUUGAAGACCAAAUAGCCAGCUUCAUACACCAAUAGAAGGCUGUUUACACCACUGGAAUAAUUACAUUAACUUAAAAGUACAAAUUCAACAAUAUGUGCUGUGUAUCGAUCUUUGUUUCCUGGUAGUCGUCUAAUCCUUCAUAAUAGUACACCAUUAAGUAGAAAACGCGAACGAGCUACAAUCCAAUGGAACUAUAAGUCGCUCGCGAUGAGGGUAAAAUAGCAGCGAAAAGUUUGCAGGUGUCGAGCGAGUCGUCGCGGCACGUAAGCCAACAGACGGGUCCCGAGUUCAUCAAAUGCUGUCGUAUCUUUCAAAUAAACAUUUAUCGAACGUUCGAAGGAACCAGGUAAUAAUUUUCGUUAGAAAAUGCAGUCUAACCUUACCCUUCUUUCGUCAUUGGUUUCACCAAUAGCAAAUUAUGCGAGAAAGGCUUUCGGAAAAUCGCUACUUUUGAUUUACGGCCCAAACUCUUUUGCUGUAUAUCUGCGACAAGGCCGUGGAAAUACAUAGAAACCGAUAGCAGUACAAAAGGAAGGGUUGUCAUUUGCAUUUGCCACGAGUGACCCUUUUCAGGCUCUCAACGUCCAUCCAUGGAAAACGGAAAUCAAUUUGACCCGCUGCGGACCGCUUGCCAAGAUUCCGUACACAACUUUACACUUUACGAAGUCUCGGAAAUAUUUCAAAAUUUUCCAACUAAAACAGGGAAAUGUUCUUCGAUCGCAAUCUUGAAGAUAUAAUAAGAACAACAACAUAAGGAUGCAAAUACUUUUACGGACGAUAACAUUUCCAUCCUCUUGAUAUUAGAUAAUAUUAAAAUAUUGAAAACCAUCGAAAUGUCGGAUAUAUUAAGUCACCGGACAUCAAACUUAGAAGACGAGGAAAAAUGUGCUUAUCGCGCUUCUUCUUUCCUGAGAUCUCCGAACGAGACGUUCUAACUAUUAACACUUCUUGCGCAAUAGUAACGACGGCCUUCGUUUCCCAUUAAGAAGCACGGCAAUAAACAGGAGAAAAAGUGUUGGUUAAGACAGGAAGGUAGAGAAUUGAUAGAUCGAGAGGGGUCCAGAGGCGGUAAAACGCGGUUGUAAAUCGGAUUCGCAGCGGGACCGUUAUCCGAACCGAUGUUACUGAACGGUACUUUUCUCCAAAACGGAGUACCGUCGCUGUAUAACCGCGGCCUCGGGCAUAAAUCAAUUAAAUUAUAAAUUACUAUACAGAAGUUGAGCAAAACGACCACCUGUUGAGGACAGCAGCAGAGAGAGAGAGAGAGAGAGAGAAGGUAGAAGCGAAAAGGGGCAAGUAAGAGGGGUGGGGGUGGGGAGGCCAGCUAUCUCGUAAAUUCUCCGCUCCUGCCCCGCUGCUGUAUCCAUGUGUAGAAGUGUUUACUCCUUACUUCCUUUCUUCUUUCAUCGUGAUCUCCUUCUAGAAAGUUAUUUACGAGCAGUCUAUUGUUGCCACCUGUGUUACGAAUGGUACGCUAAUUGGACUGUUGCGUUUGCCGCCUUUGUUUCAUUUGCGUACGACGAGUGGCGCCUUUAAAUCAACUUAAACAUAGCGUUUUUGUCGAUUUAAAAUUGAGUGACAGCUUAAUUCCGUGAAUGGAUACUAAUGAUUGGUUGAUCGAUGAACAUCGUAAACUAUUAAGUGAUUGACAGUGUACGAAUGUUGACCGAGAACUUUACAGUAACAACUGUCUGUGACAAUCAUCUUUCAUCGAAUCACCUUGCCGUCAAAGAGUUGCUACAUUACAAGAGACUCGUAACGUAACUCGCUUCAUCUUCCAGGAUAUUAACUUUCAAUUUGUUUCACGUGUUACGCGUGGCAAAAAUUAAUCAAACAGAAGAGAAAGAAGUAGCUUUCUAGAAGAAAUGAAACGAACCGAUAAGAAAGUUUGCUGGAAAAUAUUUUUACAUGUAAAUACUCUCUUUUGCCAACAGAGUUCAAAUUUCCAACUCUGAAGAAGGUCGUUUAUGUUUAAGCUUUGACGCGGAUUUGCUAGAUAAGCGUAUAAUUGGGAAUGCGAAGAAAGUAGUAGGUAGGGACAUUGAGAGCUGCCAGGGAUGAUUAAUUCUCGGUAGGAAAGCGCCAGACCCUUUGGAACUCGCUUGUAGCGCCCGCUCCACCCCGUCUUCUCUACCAUUCCAACAACCCCAACCACCGUCACUUCGAACCUCCUCUUCGCUCCUCGCGUACACCCGACAACCCACACCCUCUUCAACCCUCUGAGCUGCUCUUACCACCAAGCAGACUUUCUCGUUUCGUUUGUUCUCCGGCCGUGUCAUUCGUUAUUACAUCGUAGAAACUCGCGGAUAUUUGGAAUUCCGAGUGACGUCUAAAGGCCGCCCUCGUUGCUUUAACCGGUAACCCGGCUUCUUACCGCUUGCGCGGCUUCUUUGUCUGUCUUGACUUCUUUUUUCUUGCCCUGCCGCACCAAUUUCCCAUUAUUGUUAGUCCUUCCGUCAUUUUAACACGGAGGUUUUCAAAUGAUUCUUUUAGGACAAGGCGUGGCUCACUAUAAGUUUGAUAAUGGAUUGAUAGCUGGGUUAUCGUUGGAUUAAUGUGUUUCUUUAAUGAAUUUUUCUAAUUAGCAACGAGAUAAAAUCGUUUACUACGAGUUAAUCAAAGAAUCUUGAAGAUUUUAUUGGU
rnacentral:lncRNA from 1 species